GCAUGCGGGGUCCACACCUGUGCCACAGCGGAGGACCCAGGGCUCUCCCUCGCCUUGACAAUGUGUGGAAUCCUGGCUGGGAUGCCCCAGGUGAUGACACCUCCAGGAAACCAGGGCUUCAGCUAUCGCAGAGAUCAC